GCCAGGUGCGGUGGUGCACGCCUGUAAUCCUAGUGGCUUGGGAGGCUGAGACAGGAGCAUCAAGGGUUCAAAGCCAGCUUCAGCAAAAAAGCAAGGUGCUAAGCAACUCAGUGAGAUGAGACCCUGUCUCUA
rnacentral:sRNA from 1 species